rnacentral:rRNA from 1 species
AACGUAGGAGGCGAGCGUUAUCCGGAGUUACUGGGCGUAAAGAGCGUGUAGGCGGGUAGAGCAAGUCUGGCGUGAAAGCUCCCGGCUAAACUGGGAGAGUGCGCUGGAGACUGCCUAUCUGGAGGCGAGUAGAGGGACGUGGAAUUCCGGGUGUAGUGGUGAAAUGCGUAGAGAUCCGGAGGAACACCAGUGGCGAAGGCGACGUCCUAGGCUUGACCUGACGCUGAGACGCGACAGCACGGGGAGCGAACGGG